CAAGCACCAGAGCUAAUCCCAAUAAAAGUUAAUGAGGCAUUGGAGUUAGUUGGAAUUGAUUUGAUUGGGCCGCUGCCAACAACUGAAGAAGGUUACAAGUAUGUCUGUACAUUCACAGACUAUUACACAAAAUUUGUUGAUUUUUUCCCCAUCAAAAGCAAAGCUGCAGAUGGUGUUGCAAAAUGCAUAAAGAAAUUUACAUGCAGAUGGGGUGCACCUGCACGGCUUCUUUCAGACCAAGGGAGAGAAUUUGUAGCAAAAGUGAAUGAUGAAGUCUGCAGAGAAUUUGGCAUCAAACGAUCAGUGACCAGCGCAUAUCACCCUCAAACAAA